GACGAACGCUGACGGCGUGCUUAACACAUGCAAGUCGAACGAGUGGCGAACGGGUGAGUAAUGUCUGGGAAACUGCCUGAUGGAGGGGGAUAACUACUGGAAACGGUAGCUAAUACCGCAUACCAUCGGAUGUGCCCAGAUGGGAUUAGCUAGUAGGUGGGGUAACGGCUCACCUAGGCGACGAUCCCUAGCUGGUCUGAGAGGAUGACCAGCCACACUGGAACUGAGACACGGUCCAGACUCCUACGGGAGGCAGCAGUGGGGAAUAUUGCACAAUGGGCGCAAGCCUGAUGCAGCCAUGCCGCGUGUAUGAAGAAGGCCUUCGGGUUGUAAAGUACUUUCAGCGGGGAGGCGUUACCCGCAGAAGAAGCACCGGCUAACUCCGUGCCAGCAGCCGCGGUAAUAC
rnacentral:rRNA from 1 species